GUUGUGUCCUCAUCUGUUUCCACUGUGUCUGUGUGGCAGGACUCUGGUGCUGUGAUGUCACUUCCUCUCAAACAAAAUACUUGCCAUUCAGGAAGCAGGCUGGUUGAAAGCAGCGGUUGGGCCUCAACCAAUUAAGUUGCAGAGGGGAGCGGCGGCGGGGCCUGUUGAGCAGCAGGGGGCAGCAGCAGAGAGCAGACGUUUCAAACAGCCAGUGAACGCUGCAGCUCUUUUCCUCAGGGACUUGUUAAUCCACUGGAAACAAGCCACAGACAUCCCACACAAUUGACUUUGUGCCGUGUCAGGGAAGCGUGUACGUCAGGGACACACCGGAGGCAGAAUCGCAAAUUCUGUGUGAGCCGCCGCCUGACUCUUCACACAGGGAGCCAUCCAGGAGGAUGUUUCAGAUGCUGGCUUGCCUACAGUUGGUACAUGUGCACAAGUGAUAGGAAUCCGAGGCUGUUUUUCAAGACAUAGCACACCUAUAAUUUGAAGUGCAUGUUUUAUUAAAACUAUUUCAGAUAAUUGAAUGUCUACUGAUGCAUGUUUAAAUGAUUUAAUUCUUUGAUUUGGGUUUUUAAGCUAUAUUAGGGAUUAAGGUGUAAACAGAGACAGUUUCUCUGUUAGAGAAGGAAAUUCUCUUCUUCUAAUAUUAAUGGUUUAUCUAAAUUCUUCUAAUAGACCUGUAGUUUAUCUACUUGACGGUUAGUUAUGUACGAGGUAGGUCUUUUAACAGCUCAUUUGUUUUGAAUACACAAGUAUCCACCAUCGCUACAACUGUGUACCCAUCAUCCAUAUAGUGUUGUGUACGACUUUGAAGGAAGUUUACUCCGGUUAGUACAAAACGUUUGUGUUGCUUGUACUGUAUGCAGUGUUAUUAAUUUAAAUUUUCACCCUGACACAGUAUGCUUGUUGCAGACAGAGUUCCAAAGAAGAUGUGUUGGUAGAAACAUUUAAACCAUGAUGCUGUGCUCUCAACGCAUACUGCAUGUGACUAUGCAGUAUUCUUUCAUUAGCAAAGCUCAUUCAGGACAACAGCUGGAGUGCAGCUGUUUGGUCACAGCCAUAGAAACCUGAGUAAUGGUACUGAUUAUGUAUUCUCGUUGCUCAGGUUCGUGCUGCAGAAAGAUGGGAAUGUUUUUUGAGAGAAGAUUCCAGAUUUAUUCAAUAGACUGGCACUCAGUAGAGCUCAACAGAGCCGUAUAGGUUCAUCUCUGAUCCAUGCAGCUUCCUUCUACCAAGUUGUGUGGUUAUUGGUCAAGUAGUUUCCAGUAGAUACACACAUUUAUCAAGGAAAUGUCACCAUCAUUAAUAAUAAUCUGAAACACAACAGGAAAUUAAAGGUAGAAUGAAAUGUUUCUAGAAUAUCUAAAUAGUUGACGGGUCAUUUUCUGUUAAUCGACAUAUCAAUUCAUUUAUUUUAAAGCUUAUUUUCCCCUGCUACUUAGUCUAUAGGGUUUUCAUAUUGUGUUUUAUUUUACAUUGUAUAUAUUGGUUUAUUUUUGUCGGGCACUGGUUGCUGGUUGUACAUAAAAUUGCCCUUGAAUGAUAAUAAAGAUUUUCUUUUAUGGACAACUUUAGUUAAUGAGUUUCACAGUUUCACAAACCAAGCAGGAGACAAACCAAGCAGGCGCAGCAGAGGAACCCAGCAACCAGCAGGGGGCAGCCUCAGGACAUCACAUGGAAACUAGCUGCAGCAGACUGUGAUUAUUGUAAAACGUCAAUGGACAAGGCAACCACCUAUGUCGCCUGUACCAGGAUCCGCCCCUGGACCAGCCGUCUCAGAUCUCCGGCCCGGAGUUGCUGUGACCUCGGCUGUACCUGGACACGAUGGACUGGACGUCUGCUGCUGCAUCAAUAUUAAAAAAUGUUUCAAGAACAGGCUUUAAAUCCUGGUAGAGCAACCAGCGUAUUAUUAUGAAUCCAACGAAAUGUCGAGCCUAAUUUAUUGCCAGACUCGACGUUUUUGUUCCUGAUUAUUUAUUCAUUGUUUAUUUUGUUUUUUAUCAAAAUCCACUGUUUUA